rnacentral:tRNA from 1 species
UCCACUACUCGGUUGGUAGAGUAUAAAGCUCUUAACCUUGUGGACGUGGGUUCAAGCCCCAUGGUGGAG